rnacentral:misc_RNA from 1 species
AAUUCUCAACUUCGAAAAGCUUUUGUCUUUUUGAAGCUUGGAUGUGAAGGCUUGCUGGCGUUUCAACUGUUCAGCUCCUUUAAAAUGCAUUAGUGGACCCGUUUGUGUUCAGCCUUAGUGUGAUAAUUAUCUAUGCUAUGGUUUUUGAGCACAUGCUCAUUAGAGCUUCGAGCUGUAUUACAGUCUCGGUGUGGAGAGUUGCAUGAACUUGCUCUUUCUGUCUUUUGAGUUAGGAUUGUCUGCUUCUAACUGUCUGCGCAUGUGGACAAUUUUGAACC